UAACACUUUUGAAACACCAGUUCCCGCACGAUCACAGAAGUUAAGCAACGUCGAACCUGGUCAGUACUUAGAUGGGUGAACGCUUGUGAAUAAUGGGUGCUAU